GAGAGAAGCUCCUCUACAGCCGGCGAGGAUGUGGAUACGCGACUGGCGCAAUGGAGCCGGCGGCUGGUCGGGAAGGUUUUUAAACACCCGGUGAAGGCCUCAAACCCCGAACAGAGACCUGCAGGUCCUGGGUUUGAGCUCCAGGGCUUUUAACCGAGACUAGACCCAGAUUAACGGCCGCCAUCUUGUUUCAGAGGGGAGCAGGGCGCAUGGGCGCAGGGCUUGAUGACGUAACAGUGGGCGGGGCUUCAGCGUGCCUGUUCCCAACCGGGUCCAAGUGCCCGCUUCGUGUAAAAUCUGGGCAACAGGUUUUCCAGCAGAAACAGCAUUACCUGGAAAAACUCAGCAGGUCUGGCAGCAUCGGCGGAGAAGAAAAGAGUUGACGUUUCGAGUCCUCAUGACCCUUCAACAGAGCUUUACCCACUUUCAGGCUGCAGGGGAGAAGAGGGAGAUGAUUUGCAGACGGGAAACUCGAACCAAACAUCACAUCAAGAUCUGACUGCGUCACUCAAUUCAUCAAGACCUAAGUAUCAUUGGACAUUGACUGUGAAAGGAGGUAUAUUUGUCUGUUCUGUCUGUGGGUAAAGAUUUGAAACAUUAGUGUGACUGGAAAAGAACCAAGACACACACACACACACAGUGAGUGUGUUCCAGUGAACUGACUGGAGAAGGAGCUUUAACCUGUUACACCACCUGAAACAAAGAUUUCACCAUGCACAGCAGAGAGAAACUGUGCAAGCGUAGUGUGUGUGGACAAGAAUUCAACUGAUUAUCCAACCUGGAGAGGCACAGGAACAUCGACACCAUGGAGAAGCCGUGGAACUGCGGGGAUUGUGGGAAGAGAUUCAGAUCCCCCUCUGAGCUGGAAACUCAUGGACGCAUUCACACUGGGGAGAGACCGUUUAUCUGUUGCGAUUGUGGGAAGGGAUUCACUCGACUAACUAACCUCACUUCACACCAACUUGUUCAUUCAGACAUGAGACCUUUUAAAUGUUGUGACUGUGAGAAGAGCUUUAAAAGCAAAAAGAAUCUGCUAAUACACCAGCGAGUUCACACUGGGGAGAGGCCAUUCACCUGCUUUGACUGUGGGAUGGGAUUCGCUCAGUUAUCCAACCUGCUGCGACACCAGAGAGUUCACACUGGAGAGAGGCUGUUCACCUGCUCCAAGUGUGGGAAGGGAUUCACUCAGUUAAGUACCCUCACUUCACAUCAACUUGUUCACUCUGACAUGAGACAUUUUAAAUGUUCUGACUGUGAAAAUUGCUUUAAAAGCAAAAAGAUUCUAUUGAUACACCAGAGAAUUCACACUGGGGAGAAACCAUUCACCUGCUCCAAGUGUGGGAAGGGAUUCACUCAACUAACCCAGCUCACUUCACAUCAGCGUGUUCACUCUGAAAAGAGACCUUUUAGAUGUUCUGACUGUGUGAAAAGCUAUAAAAGCAAAGUGGAUCUGCUGACACACCAGCGAGUUCACACUGGAGAAAGGCCAUUCACGUGUUCCAUGCGUGGGAUGGGACUUAUUCACCCAUCCCUCUGGCUGAAACACCAGCGAGUUCACACUGGAGAGAGGCCGUUCACCUGCUCCGUGUGUGGGAAGGGAUUCAAUUAUUAUCCACCCUGCAGACACACCGAUGUAUUCACAAGGGACUGCAGGGGUUGGAUUCUGCUGUUAAUCACAUCCAGGACUGAACCAUGUUCAUUCUGACAGUUGGGGUUUGUUUUUGCUGAUGUUCACAAUCCCAGUAACUGGGCUGGAGUUUAAUAUUCUGGAUAAAGGUUAAAUUAAUCAGCUUAGUGUCAAAUACACAAUGCUUGAGUCCAUGAUUUCUCUAAGAAAAGAGGAGACUGAUUGAUGUUCUGUUAAUGACUUUUCUGGCCUAAGUCCUUCUCUCCUUUGUUAAUGGAAGAUGUGUAUUUAUAUAGCACCUUUCACAGCUUCAGGAUGUUCCAAAGUGCUUUACAGCCAGUGAAGUCUUUUUGAAGUGUAGUCCCUGUGUAAUGUGGGAAAUGCAUGUCGGACCAGCCGUGAGCUUCGUCCAAACCAUGGAGCCCCUCACCUUGCAGGAAAUCCACCCCAGCCACAAGGACAAGGUUUUGAUGGCACCGUCCCGAGUGUCUCAAUGGGAUCCAUGAGGUCGCUGGACAUGACACGUCACCCAACAGUGAUUGAUCCCAAACAGCAGACCCCCAACAAGGGACUGGUGAGUUUCCCCUCUCACAUACCACAAUUGGACUGGCGAAGAGUUCGUGUCUCAUGGUUUUGAUCCCUGGAAAAGCAAAAAUGAGCCAUGCGAGGCCAUGAAGACCCCAGCACCAACAACAAACUGGUCUGUGUGGGUCAAGACUCCAGAUACAGGGUGACAGAGAAACACAAACAACAAACUGGUCCUGUGUGGGUCAAGACUCCGGAUACAGAGUGACAGAGAAACGCAAACAACAAACUGGUCCUGUGUGGAUCAAGAUUCUGGGUACAGGGUAACAGAGAAACACAAACAACAAACUGGUCCUGUGUGGGUCAAGACUCCAGGUUCAGGGUGACAGAGAAAUGCAAAUGCCAAUACGGAUCAUCCAGCUCACCAACCACAACAACUGGGUUGAGACCUACCCAUGAAAGAAGGGAAUUGAACAAAAGCACAAAACACCCCAGUACAAGACAGAAAAACAGAUUCUGGAAACUUAACCACACAAAACCAAUCAUUACUCUGUAAUCACUGGGUGGAUGAAAUAUUUAAACCAAAAAGUGUCCAAGCCAUAGAAAAGGAAUGCCUUAAUCUGAAUCAAACAAUUAUUCACCUUGCCAAAUCAUUUAAACCCACAAUAAUACCAGAGAAGUUCGGAAACAGAGGCUACAUUUUUUAGCAGUGUGAAAUAACAUAAUGCACAAAUCCAGACAAACUGAGAGAAAUUCCAUAGAAAAAUCACACAAGACGACUUUUCUGAUUACUCAAUUUCAGAUAGGACAAGUUCAUCGCACAGAUCAGAUUGGAUUCCUCCAGAGAAUGAAAUGAACACUGAAAUAUCUGACUUCAUCGAAGAAACUCAGGAAUCGAGAGAAUCCCUGAUGUAAAGGAUAAACAAAACCUCAUGAGGAGAGAAAGACAAGCGAUCAGAGAAUUAAAAGUCAAUACAGAUAUUGACAUAAAACCAGCAGACAAAGGCAGUAACAUAGAUAUGGACAGACAACAAAACCUUACUGAAGCAAAUAGACAACUCAACAAGACAGAUUACUGCACCAAGUGAACUAAGUCCAUGUAUCAAUAGAGACAAAAAGAAGUUAAGGACAGACUAACAGAACUUAAAGACUCCAACUACAUGAAUCGAAAACAGAUGGAAUACCUAAAGGGACAGCAACCACAGCCAAGGACAUUUUACAAAAUACAUAAACACCUGAUGGUAACAUGAGAAAUCCUCCAAAUUUCAACCAUUACAGGCUGUGGCAGUGAAUCAUACAGAAUGGCAGAACACACUGAUUCAUUUUUGAACACCCCCACCCCAGCUCAAUAUUACCCCAAUUACAUUAAGGAUACUUACCGCUCAGAAAAAUCCCUCACCGCACCCUCCCGACAGCACACUCUUCACAAUGGAAAUUGAGAGUUUGGAAAGCAACAUAGAAACGGAGGGAUUCCAGUCAUCCAAAACAUAUUGAAUAAAGUUCCACAAUCUCAUAGACCAGGCAAAGCCAUAAUCUGAUUAUUAUAUAUGGGACUAACAAAAAACAACUUUGAAUGCAGAUGGAGAAUACAAUCUUCAAAUUAAAGAUAUAGCCACUGGCAAAAAAUUUGCACACCCCUGCCCCUCCCCCCAUGUUAAUAUAUAAAUGUGUGGGGGAAUGGGAAGAGAGUGUUUUCAAAGAAUGUUCCAAGCUACCAUUAUGUUAUUACAGAUUUCUAGAUGAUACUGGAAGAGUUUGGUCCCACACGGUGACAGAACUGGAGGAAUCUGCACAAACAAUCACUAUCUGACUAUCAAAAUCAAAGUUACAACAAUGUUAAGAAAUGUGACUUACCUGUCUCUCUGUGACGGUUUCUGGCUGGAGACUGAGGACGAGGAGGCCCAGCAUUCCCUGGGAGUUCCAGCACGUGUCCAGAGUGGGACAGGCAGCGCGGGCUCAGGAGAAGAGAUUGAACCAUUGGGAGGUGUGCAGUUGUUGAGGCAAUCCGAGUCAGAGCAGCUUUGAGGGAUGUCAGAGGCUAGAUUCUUGAAAGUGGAGACCCUUGUGAGGGAGAUGGAGUUUUCACGAGAUUGUGUGACUCACAGUGAACACUGACAUCUGGGUGGGUUGCUGAGAAAUCUGUGGGAUCUGUCUUGACUGUCUGUUAUUUAAUGUGCUGUGCAUUAUGUUUGACCACAGCUGCCUGUUACUUCAUAUUUUUCUCAUGUAAUUCUGAAUGUUAGAGAUUAAGAUAGAUAUUGCCAAUUGUUUUAUUUUUCUGACUUUCUAUAAUAAAGUUUAACUUGUUUGUUUAAAA